GCCCCUCUGGCGGAAUGGUAGACGCAGAGGACUCAAAAUCCUCCGUCGCAAGACGUGCCGGUUCGAGUCCGGCGGGGGGGCACCA
rnacentral:tRNA from 1 species